ACGGAAGGCAGCAGUGGGGAAUAUUGCACAAUGGGGGAAACCCUGAUGCAGCGACGCCGCGUGAACGAUGAAGUAUUUCGGUAUGUAAAGUUCUAUCAGCAGGGAAGAUAAUGACGGUACCUGACUAAGAAGCACCGGCUAAAUACGUGCCAGCAGCCGCGGUAAUACGUAUGGUGCAAGCGUUAUCCGGAUUUACUGGGUGUAAAGGGUGCGUAGGUGGCAUGGCAAGUCUGAAGUGAAAUGCGGGGGCUCAACCCCUGAACUGCUUUGGAAACUGUCAAGCUAGAGUGCAGGAGAGGAAAGCGGAAUUCCUAGUGUAGCGGUGAAAUGCGUAGAUAUUAGGAGGAACACCAGUGGCGAAGGCGGCUUACUGGACUGUAACUGACGUUGAGGCUCGAAAGCGUGGGGAGCAAACAGGAUUAGAUACCCUGGUA
rnacentral:rRNA from 2 species